rnacentral:rRNA from 1 species
GAGUUUGAUCUUGGCUCAGAUUGAACGCUGGCGGCAUGCCUUACACAUGCAAGUCGAACGGCAGCACGGGAGCUUGCUCCUGGUGGCGAGUGGCGAACGGGUGAGUAAUGCAUCGGAACGUAUCCUGGAGUGGGGGAUAACGUAGCGAAAGUUACGCUAAUAUCGCAUAUUCUGUGAGCAGGAAAGCGGGGGACCUUCGGGCCUCGCGCUCUUGGAGCGGCCGAUGUCGGAUUAGCUAGUUGGUGAGGUAAAGGCUCACCAAGGCGACGAUCCGUAGCAGGUCUGAGAGGAUGAUCUGCCACACUGGAACUGAGACACGGUCCAGACUCCUACGGAGGCAGCAGUGGGGAAUUUUGGACAAUGGGGGCAACCCUGAUCCAGCCAUGCCGCGUGAGUGAAGAAGGCCUCGG